rnacentral:rRNA from 1 species
GAUGAACGCUAGCGGCAGGCUUAAUACAUGCAAGUCGAGGGGCAGCACGGUUAGCAAUAACUGGUGGCGACCGGCGCACGGGUGCGUAACACGUAUACAAUCUACCUUAAACAGGGGAUAGCCUUUCGAAAGAGAGAUUAAUACCCCGUAAUAAAUUGAACGGCAUCGUUUGAUUUUGAAAGCUCCGGCGGUUUGAGAUGAGUAUGCGUCUGAUUAGCUAGUUGGUGAGGUAACGGCUCACCAAGGCGACGAUCAGUAGGGGAUCUGAGAGGACUAACCCCCACACUGGUACUGAGACACGGACCAGACUCCUACGGGAGGCAGCAGUAAGGAAUAUUGGUCAAUGGAGGCAACUCUGAACCAGCCAUGCCGCGUGCAGGAUGACGGCCCUAUGGGUUGUAAACUGCUUUUAUACAAGAGAAAACCCUGGUACGUGUACCAGGUUGAUAGUAUUGUAAGAAUAAGCAUCGGCUAAACUUCGUGCCAGCAGCCGCGGU